rnacentral:rRNA from 1 species
AGCGAACGCUGGCGGCAGGCCUAACACAUGCAAGUCGAACGAACUCUUCGAAGUUAGUGGCGGACGGGUGAGUAACACGUGGGAACGUGCCUUUAGGUUCGGAAUAACUCAGGGAAACUUGUGCUAAUACCGAAUGUGCCCUUCGGGGGAAAGAUUUAUCGCCUUUAGAGCGGCCCGCGUCUGAUUAGCUAGUUGGUGAGGUAAAGGCUCACCAAGGCGACGAUCAGUAGCUGGUCUGAGAGGAUGAUCAGCCACAUUGGGACUGAGACACGGCCCAAACUCCUAUGGGAGGCAGCAGUGGGGAAUCUUGCGCAAUGGGCGAAAGCCUGACGCAGCCAUGCCGCGUGAAUGAUGAAGGUCUUAGGAUUGUAAAAUUCUUUCACCGGGGACGAUAAUGACGGUACCCGGAGAAGAAGCCCCGGCUAACUUCGUG